rfam:Ricinus communis cultivar Hale ctg_1100012358250, whole genome shotgun sequence.
AGACCAUGGUGUGGGCAACACCUUAACAAGUCCUUGAAGCGCUCCCAGGCUUCGUACAUCGAUUCUCCUUCACCCUGCACAAAAGAAGAUAUGAUAUGAAUCAAGGCU